AGGGCACCACCAGGAGUGGAGCCUGCGGCUUAAUUUGACUCAACACGGGAAAACUCACCCGGCCCGGACACUGAAAGGAUUGACAGAUUGAGAGCUCUUUCUUGAUUCAGUGGGUGGUGGUGCAUGGCCGUUCUUAGUUGGUGGAGCGAUUUGUCUGGUUAAUUCCGGUAACGAACGAGACUCUAGCCUACUAAAUAGAUCGCCGGUUUACAAACACCGGUGAGACUUCUUAGAGGGACAGGCGGCGAUUCAGCCGCACGAAACAGAGCAAUAACAGGUCUGUGAUGCCCUUAGAUGUCCGGGGCCGCACGCGCGCUACACUGAAGUGAUCAGCGUGCAUUUUAAGCCUACUCUGCCAAGAGUGGGAAACCCAAUGAACCUUCUUCGUGAUUGGGAUAGGGGAUUGUAAUUAUUCCCCUUGAACGAGGAAUUCCCAGUAAGCGCGAGUCAUAAGCUCGCGUUGAUUACGUCCCUGCCCUUUGUACACACCGCCCGUCGCUACUACCGAUUGAAUGUUUU
rnacentral:rRNA from 1 species